AAGUAUAUUUAUUCAGUAAGGUAACUUUCAUCUAAUUUUCAGGUGUAUUUUUUUUACAACAAAAUAUCAAUAGAUGCUAUAUAUAAGAUUUUACACUUUGUUUUUUAUGUAUAGUAGAGAUCGUUUCAGUAUAAUGACUUUCUGUACUCUUUUAAUACCUUUUUACACAUAGCCAUGUUUCCCCUAAUUUCUCAGCCCUCUUGCAUCAAGGCCAAGUCUUAAGACCAAUUUUGCCCAGUUGUUUGUGCAUGGAAGUUGUGUGUUUCUCAUUUGAAUGAGGAAAUCAUUAUUUCUUAAACAUCAGGAUAUCACACCCAGCAAUUCUACUUUUGAAAAUAUACCCAAGAGAUUUGAAAAGAUUUUUUUCAUGAAAACAUCUUGUAUAGCAUUGAUGAUGUGCGGAAUCUAAAAUACAACAGAAAUGAACAUACCUGAAAAACAGAGUCACAGGUAUAGAGAACAGACUUGUGGUUUGCCCAGGUGGAGGGGGGCAGGUAGCGGAGGGUUGGAUUAGGAGUUUGGGAUUAGCAGAUGCAAAGUAAUAUAUAAAAUGGAUAAACAACAAGGUCCUCCUAUAUAGCACAGAAAACUAUAUUCAAUAUCCUGUAAUAAUCCAUAAUGGAAAAGAAUGUGAAAAGGAAUAUGUAUAUGUGUAAUUGCAUGUGUCAUUCCUCUGUGUACAUUUUCAUGUGACGCAAAUUUGAAAACAACCCCUUGAUUUAUGCAACCUCCAAGCAUUUCACUGACAUAAAGGGAGAAAUACAAAUUAAAUAUAUAAAUUGGACAAAACAGUAUCUUUGAAAAAUAUAUAUGAUUGACAAGAUGAGAUUCCUCAAAACCUGAAAGUCGAACUACCAUAUGACUCAGCCACUCCACUCCUGGGUACAUUACUAGGAAAAAAGAAAACACUAAUUUGAAAAGAUACAGGCACCUGAACGUUCAUAGUAUCACAAUUUACAGUAGCCAAGAUAUGGAUGCAACCUAAAUGUCCAUCAACAGAUGAAUGGAUAUGGGGGAGUUCCCUGUUGGCCUAGUGGUUAGGAUUCCAACAAACGUGCCAUGAGAUCUCUGUGAAUCAGGAAGAGGAAUGUAGUAUGUAUAUUAUUAGCAGGUGGAAAAUUGUGGUCUUUCCUAAGCAAGACAUCAGGAGUUUACUCUUGAAUAAACAUUCAGUUUUGUGCGAAAGAGUCUGAUUCCAUAUUUGAGGUCUGACUGUAGACACCUUUAAGUCUCACUACAAACUGUUCCUCUUCUGCUCCCGUGAGCAGGGCAGGCUGAUAAUAAAGCUGAGUGUGCCUUCCCUUGGCAGUAGUUGUGGGUUCAUGCAACGAGCAAGUACCAUCACCUCAGCCCGGUCCUGUAUCCAGAGUAACACAAGCCCAUCAGCGUUCUCUGCCCUCUCUAGCCAUUUUUAAAAACUUGGGAAGUCUACCCUGCUCUCCCCAGAAGGCCUCAUUACGUAACAAACAUUUUCCUAACACGUUAUUUAUUUAUUUUUUUUGCCACGCCAUGUGGCCUUCAGGAUCUUAGUUCCCCAACAAGGGAUCGAACCCAGGCUCCCUGCAGUUGAAGCUGAGCUCGGAGUCCUAACCACUGGACCAUCAGGGAAUUCACUCCUAACACUUUAAUGUAUGGAGUCAUCAGUCCUGCCAUCGAAUCUAAACUUUGAGUGGGGAUCCAUCCUUUUCCAAUGGAGAAAGCCUAAGUACAAACUAACAAAAAUGUGUUGGGAGAGUUAAUAGGUGAAAUUUCUAGUGUAUCUAUCAAAAACUCCCAUUGUGUACGUUCAUUCUUAGAGAAAAGUCAUGAACAUUGAUCUUUUUCAAUUCUCUCACCACCCCCUACCCACUUCUGGGAAUCACAUGUUAGUUCUAUGAGUCUCCUUUCACUGUAUUUUGCCUUUUUUUGUUUUUUAAUUUUUUAGAUUCCAUAUAUAAGUGAAACCAUGUGGUAUUUGUCUUUGAGUUUUUUUCUCUUAGCAUAGUACCUUCUUCAUCCAUCCAUGUGGUUUCAAAUGGCAAGAUUUAUUUUCUGGCUGAGUAAUGUUCCAUUCUAUAUAUAUACACCAUGUUUUCACUAUUCAUUCGUCCUUCCAUGGUGCUCAACCCAGUCUUCACAUUAGAUGGAUGAGGCAUUUUGCAUAGACAUGUUUUGUACCCUCUGACCAGGGAUUCCCCUUCAUGUAGUCAGUGUAGGACCCAACCUCAAUCAUAUAUAUAUAUAUAUUUUAGAAGAUGUUGGGGGUAGGAGUUUAUUAAUUUAUUUAUUCGUUUUUGCUGUGUUGGGUCUUCGUUUCUGUGCGAGGGCUUUCUCUAGUUGUGGCAAGUGGGGGCCACUCGUCAUCGCGGGGCACGGGCCUCUCACUAUCGCGGCCUCUCCUGUUGAGGAGCACGGCCUCUCCUGUUGAGAUGCGCAGGCUCAGCAGCCGUGGCAAACGGGCCCAGUUGCUCCGCUGCAUGUGGGAUCUUCCCAGACCAGGGUUCAAACCCGUGUCCCCUGCAUCGGCAGGCGGACUCUCAACCACUGCGCCACCAGGGAAGCCCUCAAUCAUAUUUAAGGUGCCCCAGGAUGUUCCAAUCUGGAUCCCUCACUGAGCAUCAUGGCUCCAGGUCCUCCCGUUCCUGAGGGCUGAGAUCUGGGCUGAGGGUGAGGGCUCUGCUCUGCGUGGGGAUGGAUCAGGGCUGGUCUGUGACCUGCAGGGGAUCGUCGGGUCCCGCUGAGGUGCCCGCUGCUGCUGGGUACGUGAGGGCCUCACCUGGAGGGGAGUGAGGUCUGAAGAAAGGGUGGGAAACUCACCUGUUGGCCUCUGUGUGGGAGUUACUGUCCUGAGCCCCUCCUGGGACAGUGGGCAACAGAGGACCGUCUGUUCCACAUGCUGAGGGCUUCCCUGUGUGUGUGGUGGUGACUCAGGAAGGGGGUGUGUUGAUUCUGAGCAUUAAACAGCAUCUUUUCCACUUUCAGGAUAGACUGCUAAACAUUCAUCUUGUCUAAGGAAGAAGCCCUUAAGAGGCGAAAGAGGAAAGAACUGGAGUCUGCAAUGGCUCUUUCUCAGGCAACGAACCUUCAUCCCCUGCAGUGGAAGCACUGAGUCUUAACCACUGGACCACCAGGAGGUCCUGGGGUUUGGAGAUUUGCUAGAUGGAAAAUCAGAGAGAAAAACUGAACCUUGAUGGGAAGAAGACUGCAGGACAGUGUGGGGUCAUCUGGACGACGUCGCCGCGCUGAUGACCUUGUCCCUCCAAGGGCGUGCUUGUAGGUACUGUGGCGCAGGAAGGGGCUUUGUGGAUGCCCGAGAGAUGCCGUUGAAAUCAAGAUAGACACCCCGCCCUGGCUCAUCUUCUAGGAAUCCCCAAAGGAUUUUGGAAAACCAUUGUCCCUUUUAGAUUCCCAUUUUCCCCCAGGUGUGUUAGGUUUUCUCAUUAAGUCCUAGAGUGUGACAGGGCCCCCAGGGAGGUAAGGUGCCAGGUGACAUCUGCGUAGUGAAUGGAACUUUGGGCUCCUGUGUGGUGCUGGAUUCACAUCACAGGCUCUGUGUCUUUUCAGUGCUCGUGUGCUACAUGUUCACGAUUAGCGGUCUGUUACGUAGACAGAGAUUGUCAGGAAAACUGUUUGUAGCAAGUGGUUUCCUCUUCAUACUCAUAAAUAUAUAUGCCCUUUAUUUCUUUUUUAGUCGGGGGGUGGAUGCUGCGCUGCACAGUAUGCGGAAUCUUAGUUCCUUGACCAGAGAUCAAACCUGUGCCCCCUGUGGUGGAAGCAUGGAGUCUUAACCACUGGACUGCCAGGAAGGUCUCUGACCUUUAUUUCUUUUUUUUAAUCUUUUCUUUUUUUUUUUUUUUAACAAAAAUAGAGGGCAAGUUCAGAAGUGGGAAAUGGUCUGGCUUUUGAGAUAUCUGACUUCUUGCUUUUUUUCUGGUGAUGCCCGAGCACCAGGUGUCUUUCUAACCAAGUGUCAUUUUCUGAUUUGUAUCAGACUAUGUUUGUAAAACUGGAUGUUUAAUUUCAAGAACUCAUUUGUUGUAACUGCAAAAAAAAAUGAAAAUAAAAAUGACUGACUCUA